ensembl:lncRNA
GUCUGCCGCUUUUUUGUUUGUUUGUUUUGUUUUUUGUUUUUUAAUACUAGUGGCACCAUUAGUGGAAGUGGUGCUUGUAAACAAGGUCUUGUGGAAUCAGGUUGUUCCAGCACAAAGAAGAAAUCAGGCUUCAGAACCUUUAGAGACAGGAAUGAUUAGAAUUAUUUAAGAGACCAUCUAUGACUAUCAUAACAUGAAUGUUCACCAAAAACAUGCUUUCUGUUGAGGCUGCGCAUAUGCAACUGCUUGAAUUUGCGUUGCUGAAGGAAAAAGGAAAAAGUGACAGUUAUAAAGAUAAAUGCAAAGGAGGCUGUGACUAGACUAAAUAUACUGAUGUUCAUACUAGACCAGAUUAUAUGUCCAGCCCAACAUGCAGCUUCAUAGUAACUGUCCUGGGACAACUCUUCUGUCUCAGGUGUGUUUCACAGGCGGACAUUGGACCUAAUUGUAAAUAGCUGAGGCAGCCUUUUUUUGAAGUACUGUGUGUGAGCGAGGACUUUAGUGUGUUUUUAAAAGCAGGUGCAGUAGAUGCUAUGAGAUUUGUCCUGUUAAAAUGGUUUUGUCAUUCCUGCUUUAUUCCCUCAUCUUCCUUCCUCCCCCGACUAAAAGACUCGUGAACCAAAAUGGUGUCAUCAGCUGCUGCAUCUUCCCAAUUUGUGCAAAAUCAGCAUCUUGUGCUAUCAUCAGUAAACAGGAGGUGGAGGAAAGAAGCAAAUGGAGGCAUAGUUUACAAAUACCAAGGGGCACUGAUGGCACUGCAGGUUGUGUGCAGUUUUAUUUAUACUAUUGUAAGAAUUUGGCAUAGCAAUGUGAAUAUGUGAGAAAAUGACAAACUCUUCCCCUUCCUGUUAGUCCUGAAUAUGCAUACAGUUGCAUACACAUCUGCUAAUAAAUGCCUUUUUUUUUUCUUUUUCUUUUUCUUUAAAGAGUCGAGCCCAUCUGUUUGAGUGGUUGGACAGAAGGUGUCUGUGAUCUGAUUACAUGUGUUGAGAAUAAUGGUUGACAAUCUGGAGUGUCAUCUUGCCACCCUCUUUUGUUAGAAAAUGGAAAACAGAAACACUGGAAUGUCAAAGCUUUUUUUAAAUAAAACAAGGUAAAUGUGAG